UUACUGCUCCUUCGCUAUAGGUCUUGAAAACUGGUCAGCACGGCAUCUCCACUUGCACACUACCUGGGGCAGAGAAAACAUGGACUCCUGGCUAGCCACGUGGGACAGCCACCGAACAGUUUGCAUAGCUUUUGUGACACUGCAGAUGCACAGCCACUCCUUUUACUUCUGGAAGUUGGACCCCAGGACACAGACCUCCUGUGACAGGACUGCUUAGGCAGCUCUGCUCCAACCGAUCAGGAAAGAAGCCUUGAGAACUGGUGUUCAGUUUGCUUGCUAUAUAACCAGUUUUGAAAGAAACAAAGUAGAGAGAGCUGGGCAUUUUCUACAGCCGAGUCGAGCCAUGGUUCCUGAAGCGGUCGCACAGUGUUUACUGAAGCACAGGACAAGAAACCCUACAGGAUCGGCAAAGAAACAAACAAAAUCCAAACCCUUGGCUUUGGAGAGUUUCAGCAGUUUAGAUAGAAGCUGGUAGUGAUGGCGGUGUGGUCCUGCGACCGCCUCAAACACGAGGAAAUCACACCUUGAACAUGGAAGUUGUGGGAUCUGCAGAUGACAUUUUAUUAAAGUUGCUUCUUAAGAGCUGUAAAGCUUAGGCCAGGCCAGAACCACAUAUUGGGAAGAAUAGAAGAGGCACCUAAGACAAUACCCAUCCCCCGCUUCAGACAUGAGAAGACUAUGAAGACGCUCCGGGUGAUAAUGGCUCCCCCUAGUGGUUCAGGGAGGUGAGUCAAAGCAACCAGCUGCCGUCCCGAAAAGACCUUAGACCCUCCCCAGAAGACUCAGAGAUUCUCAGAGGCAGCACAGAAGGCCCCAGGACCAACAGGGACAAGGAGCUGACAGGAACCGUCUACUGGAUGCCUGACAGAAGAGUGGGAGACAAGGACCCCUCAGCCAGCGCCAGCCUGGAAGCCGCCCCAUGCCAGCUUCCUCUGCUGCAUCACCUUGGCAUUUCUUAAAAACAGUCCUAAGGCAAAUGAGGGGAGUUGUGCGUGAGUGAGAGAACUUCUUGCCUUGGUCCAAAUGCAGGAUCCAAUUCUGUUUUCAACAAACGAAAGCCCAUUACAGUGAUGGCUGAGUGCGGAGUGGGACAUUUUAUCUGUGGAAGGAAGCCACCGCGGCCUGAGGUCUUGAAAGGUGCAAGCCGUUGUGUAUUUAUAAUAUAAACUGGCUUUUAUACAGGGUGGAGAAGGAGUUUCUGCCAUCCACGCCUCUGGGGACAGAUCAAUGGGACAUCCCACAUUCAGAAGGGAGAGCCGGGAAAUUAAAUGGACGCUGACGUUUUCUUUUAAGAAACACUGUGGUCUGAAUCACUUGCUCAAUAAAGACCUUUCCCCCUGAAAGGUUACUCCACA